CUAAAAAAAGGCAAUGGACCAUGGAAUCAAGGGGACCGGCCCAGAUCCAAGAGGGUGCAAGGAAUAAUAUCCAAGGAGUCAGGUUACUCAUAGUUGUCAUGUAGAAAUCGUACGGUACGUUUCUCUCUUCGCCUUCUUUCAUCCGCGCGUAAGAAGAGAGCUACAUUGGUGUCGAUUUCCUGUUUUCAUGGUUAGCUUGAGAAUCGGAAGGAGAGUAUGUGAGAAUGAAGAAACGAUUUUGAACUGAAUUAUUUGGACAGGUGUGCUUAGGUUAACGCUGAAAAUAGGGUGAAGGUGAAGAAAGGAGUUUGCGACGGCGGUUGGGGAUUGCGUUCCCGGUGAAGACGAGGUCGUGAUGGUGGUGGUGUGGACCGGCGAAAACGGCUGUGGAAAGGAAGAAGAAUGAAAGAUUUGUUUCGUGUUCGCCGGCGAGGGAAGUGACGGAGCUUCUCCUGCUUUGCGGCUUCCUUCUUAGCGGCCUUUUUGCUUUGCGCUUCUGAUGACAGCGGCGGUUCUUGAGACUCUGAAGAUUACAACUCUGAGAUGACCUGGUGGAAUGGAUGGAAGGUGGCUGCUCCAAACUUCAAGAUAACCUGUUUUCAUGACUAAGUCCAAAGUGAUUUCAUCCUAAUUGCUUGGUUUUGGUCAUUAGGAACCUAUUUCCAUCUGUAGCAAUUUUUUCAUUGUAAUUACUUAGUUUAGUUUUUUUUAUAAAUAAAACGUGUGUUUGUAUUA